rnacentral:rRNA from 2 species
UGGGUAACCUGCCCCGAAGCGGGGGAUAACAUUUGGAAACAAGUGCUAAUACCGCAUAAUUAGUUGGAACCGCAUGGUUCCAACUUGAAAGAUGGCUCUGCUAUCACUUUGGGAUGGACCCGCGCCGUAUUAGUUAGUUGGUGAGAUAAAAGCCCACCAAGACGAUGAUACGUAGCCGACCUGAGAGGGUAAUCGGCCACAUUGGGACUGAGACACGGCCCAGACUCCUACGGGAGGCAGCAGUAGGGAAUCUUCCACAAUGGACGAAAGUCUGAUGGAGCAACGCCGCGUGAGUGAUGAAGGUUUUCGGAUCGUAAAACUCUGUUGUUAAAGAAGAACAAGUGUUAGAGUAACUGUUAACACUUUGACGGUAUUUAACCAGAAAGCCACGGCUAACUACGUGCCAGCAGCCGCGGUAAUACGUAGGUGGCAAGCGUUGUCCGGAUUUAUUGGGCGUAAAGCGAGCGCAGGCGGUUUUGUAAGUCUGCUGUGAAAGCCCUCAGCUCAACUGAGGAAGUGCAGUGGAAACUACAAAACUUGAGUACAGAAGAGGAAAGUGGAACUCCAUGUGUAGCGGUGAAAUGCGUAGAUAUAUGGAAGAACACCAGUGGCGAAGGCGGCUUUCUGGUCUGUUACUGACGCUGAGGCUCGAAAGCAUGGGUAGCGAACAGGAUUAGAUACCCUGGUAGUCCAUGCCGUAAACGAUGAAUACUAGGUGUUGGAGGGUUUCCGCCCUUCAGUGCCGCASCUAACGCAUUAAGUAUUCCGCCUGGGGAGUACGACCGCAAGGUUGAAACUCAAAGGAAUUGACGGGGGCCCGCACAAGUGGUGGAGCAUGUGGUUUAAUUCGAUGCUACGCGAAGAACCUUACCAGCUCUUGACAUCUUCUGCCAACCCAAGAGAUUGGGCGUUCCCUUCGGGGACAGAAUGACAGGUGGUGCAUGGUUGUCGUCAGCUCGUGUCGUGAGAUGUUGGGUUAAGUCCCGCAACGAGCGCAACCCUUAUUAUUAGUUGCCAGCAUUUAGUUGGGCACUCUAGUGAGACUGCCGGUGAUAAACCGGAGGAAGGUGGGGACGACGUCAAAUCAUCAUGCCCCUUAUGAGCUGGGCUACACACGUGCUACAAUGGAUGGUACAACGAGUCGCGAAACCGCGAGGUCAAGCUAAUCUCUUAAAGCCAUUCUCAGUUCGGAUUGCAGGCUGCAACUCGCCUGCAUGAAGUUGGAAUCACUAGUAAUCGUGGAUCAGCAUGCCACGGUGAAUACGUUCCCGGGCCUUGUACACACCGCCCGUCACACCAUGAGAGUUUGUAACACCC